rnacentral:tRNA from 1 species
GGCGUGGCUCAGCUUGGUAGAGCGCUUGGUUCGGGACUAAGAGGUCGUGGGUUCAAAUCCCGUCGCC